CCUGCCCAGUGACUCUGUUCAACGGCCGCGGUAUCCUAACCGUGCAAAGGUAGCAUAAUCAUUUGCCUAUUAAUUGUAGGCUAGUAUGAAAGGACCAACGAAAUAAAAGCUGUCUCUAUAAGUUUUAUAAAAAUUAAUCUCUAACCGAAGAACGUUAGAUAUAUUCGAAGGACAAGAAGACCCUAUAGAGCUUUAUUUAAACACUGAUAUUAUACUUUGCUAAAAUUCGGUUGGGGCGACCAGGGAUAAAUACAUCAUCCCGAUACAAAAGAUAAAUUAAUCUCGCCAAAGACCCUUAAAAAAGAUCAUAAAAAUAAGCUACCUUAGGGAUAACAGGCUAAUCCCACUAAAGAGUCCUUAUCAAUAGUGGGGUUUGGCACCUCGAUGUUGGCUUAGGGAAACUAUGUGGCGCAAAAGUCACAUAAAGAUGGUUUGUUCAACCAAUAACUCCCUACAUGAGCUGAGUUCAGACCGGCGUAAGCCAGGUUAGUUUCUAUCCUCGACCUAUAAAUCCUAUUCAUAGUACGAAAGGACCUGAAUAUGGGUAACAUUUACACUUAAAGAAUAAAUAUAAUAAAUAUUAAAUUUAAUCAUUCAUACACUA
rnacentral:rRNA from 1 species